CCUACGGGGGGCAGCAGUGGGGAAUCUUAGACAAUGGGGGCAACCCUGAUCUAGCCAUGCCGCGUGAGUGAUGAAGGCCUUAGGGUCGUAAAGCUCUUUCGCCUGUGAUGAUAAUGACAGUAGCAGGUAAAGAAACCCCGGCUAACUCCGUGCCAGCAGCCGCGGUAAUACGGAGGGGGUUAGCGUUGUUCGGAAUUACUGGGCGUAAAGCGCGCGUAGGCGGAUUAGAAAGUUGGGGGUGAAAUCCCGGGGCUCAACCCCGGAACUGCCUCCAAAACUGCUAGUCUAGAGUUCGAGAGAGGUGAGUGGAAUUCCGAGUGUAGAGGUGAAAUUCGUAGAUAUUCGGAGGAACACCAGUGGCGAAGGCGGCUCACUGGCUCGAUACUGACGCUGAGGUGCGAAAGUGUGGGGAGCAAACAGGAUUAGAUACC
rnacentral:rRNA from 1 species